AUAAUAAGAUUAGGGUGGGGCUACCAGCUUUCCCUGCACACUAUGUAGAUAGCAUACCUGAUCGAACCAGUCUUUGAAUCCUAUGUAAAUCAGAUACUGCCUUCUCCAAUCUAUUGUAUCUGUUUUGGUCCACCGCCUCCCCACUUUUCAGAUCUCUCUCUCUCAAAGAGCUGCUCUCUUCUCUCCUUUCUUCUAUCUAUUAAACUUUCCACUCCCUAACCCGCCUACAUGUGUCUGUGUCCUGAAUUCUUGGCCUGUGACAACGAACCCCAGGGUGUAUACCCCAGACAGCACAGCCACUUCACCAGCAGGGACAGCAGCCGUCACAUGAACUGGAGAUGAAUUGGAGUACCACACUCUACCAGCUGGGAUGUCUGGGUAACAGGCUCCCCAGAUUGCAGCCUCCCCUCCAGCACCAGUGUCAAGAAAGCACUAUGGUAAAAGUCUCUCAGUAAAAAGUGAACCUUGGGGCUUGUUCCUGAGUUUGACAUGUUAAACAAAUUAAAGAACUGUUUUCAACUGAUUAGUCAUAUCCUUCUUCAAUUCCUAUGGGAAUGUGGAUUAGUUGUGCUUGAGAAAGUCAGCCAAUUUUGACAUGAAGAUGUCUUUCAGGCAGGUAGGCCACCUGUGAUGAAGUGAAUCAUUGAAGAAAGUCUAUUUUCUUGUGGCAUAAAUACAAGCCUGAAGAUUACAUGUAAGCUGUCAUACACGUACCUCCUAAAUGCAAUUCCUCAGAAGGGACAUGCCAUCAUCAUUCACAUUAAUGUCGAUUUGUGCAACUACAUGGUUUGAAAUAACCAAUUCAUCACAGUAGGUAUUUGAGAGGAGUGAGGGAGCUUUCUCUGUACUAAUGAAAAAAAUGACAUUUCUGUUUACCAUUUGUCAGUUUUAAGUAAUUAAUACAUGUCUGUAAUAAUUUUCAUAUUUUGAUAUGGUAUUCACUUGUAAGGAUAUGCAAUUUUUAAGAGUUAUGGUGAGAAUGUUUCUUCCAUAACAUUCAGCUUUAAAAAGUUUUAGGAAACUCUUCAUUAUGUCUCAAAAGUUAAAUGCAUGAUAAAUGAAAUGCCUCUUACUGGUUGCAAUUUUCUAAAUGUAAGUAAUGCCUAUUACUCUGAUAUUUAACUCAAAUAUAUUAACAAUAAUUGAAAGCUUUGGAGUGCUACAGGUUGAUAAUAAGCCUGAAAGUAUAGAAUAGUCAUCUGUAUGUGAAAAUUUUUAUUCUUAAAGCCAACAUAACAAAGUAAGAAUUAUGUCAGUGUUUCUAGCUGUCCCCCCAGAUCUAGCUCCUGAUAGAUAAUUGUCAAUA